rnacentral:rRNA from 1 species
UAGGGAAUCUUCCGCAAUGGACGAAAGUCUGACGGAGCAACGCCGCGUGAGUGAAGAAGGAUUUCGGUUCGUAAAACUCUGUUGUUAGGGAAGAAAAAAUGUAUAGUAACUAUAUACAAAAGAGACGGUACCUAACCAGAAAGCCACGGCUAACUACGUGCCAGCAGCCGCGGUAAUACGUAGGUGGCAAGCGUUGUCCGGAAUUAUUGGGCGUAAAGCGCGCGCAGGUGGUUAGAAAAGUCUGAAGUGAAAGGCAGUGGCUCAACCAUUGUAGGCUUUGGAAACUGUUUAACUUGAGUGCAGAAGGGGAGAGUGGAAUUCCAUGUGUAGCGGUGAAAUGCGUAGAUAUAUGGAGGAACACCGGUGGCGAAAGCGGCUCUCUGGUCUGUAACUGACGCUGAGGCUCGAAAGCGUGGGGAGCGAACAGG